CCUACGGGUGGCAGCAGUGGGGAAUAUUGCACAAUGGGGGAAACCCUGAUGCAGCGACGCCGCGUGAGUGAAGAAGGAAUUCGGUAUGUAAAGCUCUAUCAGCAGGGAAGAAAAUGACGGUACCUGAGUAAGAAGCCCCGGCUAACUACGUGCCAGCAGCCGCGGUAAUACGUAGGGGGCAAGCGUUAUCCGGAUUUACUGGGUGUAAAGGGAGCGUAGACGGCAGUGCAAAUCUGGAGGGAAAGGCGGGGGGUCAAACCCCGGACCGCCCUUGAAACUGUGCGGCUUGAGUGCAGGAGAGGUUAGUGGAAUUUCUUGUGUAGCGGUUGAAU
rnacentral:rRNA from 1 species